GAGGCAUGGUCUGGCUCUGUCACACAGGCCAGAGUUCAGUGGUGUGAUCAUGGAUCACUGCAGCCUGAAACUCCUGGGUUGAUCAAGUGAUCAGUCCUCUCACCUCAUCCUACCAAGUAGUGGGGACCACAGGUGCAUGCCACCCGGGUCUUGCUAUGUUUCCCAGGCUGGUCUUGAACUCUUGGCCUCACGUGAUCCUCUCCCCUAGGCCUCCUAAAGUGCAAGAAUUACAAGUAUGAGCCACUAUGCCUGGCCCCCACCCUGCCUAUUGAGAACCAAAAGAAGGAACCAAAUUCUCCGUAGCUCAACUCGAGCCAUUUCCUGAUUUCUUCAUCAGGAAUGAGCUGGUUAUUGGGCUGUCCAGGCCUCUCAAGCAGCACAGAAAUGAGAAACAGGAUCUUGCUCUCUCACCCUGGAUGGAGUUCAGUGGUGCAAUCACAGCUCAUUGUAGCCUCAACCCCCCAGGCUAGCAAUCCUACCACGGCCUUUCGAGUAGCUGUGACUACAGACAUAUUGUAAAGAACAGGCAGAAUAAAUUGAAUGAAGAGGAACUGAGAAGGCAUAUCCAGAGAGGGAGAGAGAGAGAAAGAAAGAAGCAAACUCAAAGAAGUAUGGUGUUCCACAUGAUAAUGUAAGUGAACAGAGUUUUUGAAGGUAAAAUUCAAAUAGACAACUGCCAUGGUUUGAAUAUUUAUAUCAAAACUUAACGUUGAUAUUUAAUCAUCAGUGUAAUGAUAUUGGGAAGUGAGGCCUUUAUGAGGUGAUUAGGCCAGGAGGGAUCUGCCCACAUGGGUGGGUUAAACAACUGUUGAAAAGGGCAUUCAGAAAUGAAUUUCAGCUCCUCUGUUCUGCCAUGUGGGGAACAGUGUUCCCUCCCUCUGGAGGUUGCAUCUUAGAAGCAGAGGUGGGGUCCUUAUCAGACACCAAACUUGCGGCUGCCUUGAUCUUAAACUUCUCAGUCCCCAGAACUGUGAGAAAAAAACAUUCUGUUAUUUAUCAAUUACCCAAUUUCAGGUAUUUUUUUUGUAGAAGCACAAAACAGACUAAGAUAAUAACUCCUAUCUUUAUUCUUAUAUAAUUUUAAUAUGAUUCUUUUAUAAGAUUCCCAAA
rnacentral:lncRNA from 10 species